ACGGUGGAGCCCGAACACGUGCAUAAAACUCGACACGGAGCCUAGUUAGGGUUAGUUUGCGACCGGACGAGCGACUGUGCGCUUGCGUGACCCUCGGAGGGCUCCUCUCCUCUCUUUCUCUCGCUUCGUCAUCAAGGGUGUCGCGUUACGCUCUCCUCUUCCCAUCCCGCGCGGUGCGCCCGCUCGCAAGCAGCAAGCAUGAACCGAACCUCCGAGGGUCCCGCGACCUUCAGCCCGGUUUUCCCGAAUCGGGACCGCGCCAGAUUGAAGUCUCUCAUCCGGCACGCAACGAUCAUCCGCCGUUACGAGAAUCGCCGAGGAUCACGGAUCCAAAGAAUGGAUGAACGGAGGAGCGAAAGAAACGAGAGGUACGAGGUACUGUUGAACACUUGCUGGAAGGAACAUCUCCGAAAAGGAUGAAGAUUGUUCUUAGGAUCGUUCGUCCUCGGUGAAUCGCUGAUUCGGAGAUAAAGAGACGAGGGAGGACGGAAGAUGGCAAGACAACCACAGUAAGUACAUGAUAAUCGAACACCAUGUAUGAUCCAUGUAAUAUCGUCGUGGAAACCUUGAGUAAAAAAUACCAUCAGCUAACAUCGAUGAAUAUCAAUAUCGUCAUUGACGUAUUAUAAAAACGUCAUUGUGGUUGUCGGCUUCUUGACCUCGUCCUUCAUUUCUACAACAUACGAACCAACAGUACAGAAACAGGAAGUUGCAAGGCGAACAAAAUAAAUCUUAAAUUAACUACGUACCGAUAACAAGUAGAAAUGAAAAAAUGAGAGAGAAAGAGAGAGAGAGACAUAGAGUACUGAUACUCAAAGUACAACCAGUAUUCAAAAGACGCUCGGUGAAGAUAAAUGACCGCAUUUUGCGGUAAUAGAAAAUUUUCAUUCCUGCAUACUUCUGCAUUAAACAGCAUCAAAAAUUAUCGAAGAGGAUAAUCACCGGUGUGAUUAUGGCAACAACAAGAUGAAUAGAUAUCCAAAGACAUCAAUUAUUACACAAUAUUCCGAUUCUUAAUAUUUUUUCAUUAUGCAUAUUGAUGAGAAUGUUUUCACAAGCGUCUGAAUCAAAGAUAUCAAUAACGUGAAUAAUAUUCCAAGAAAAACUUGACAAUAAGAAUAUAUAUAUAUUAACAGAUCUUUAAACCGAUCGCAAUACAAUCUCUGGUGUCAGUCAAAAUGUACAUUUUUUGGCAAUCAAGCAUGCCACAAUUUUCGACACUUAUGAUGCAGCAUAUUGAUAAUCGGAUCUAAUAUAAGUUCAUCAUACGAGAAACUAUUCGGAUUAGAUCCGAGAAGAAUCGCGUUGCUGUGUCAUAUCAUCUACUUUCAAUGACUACAACGAUUAUGAUGAUAACAACGAUCACCGGUGGAAGACAUCUCUAACUGAAUGCAAUCUUUUAAGAUAAUAUGGUAUGUCAUAAUCCAUUUUAAUACUCGGAAAAAUAUUUCACCAACUCGCGAUAAUGCAAUUUUAAUUGAAUAAUGUAAAUAAUAUAAAUAUUUAAUAGUGUACGAGAAUAUCUAUAUUCAUAUAUGUAUAAGUUACUUUAUAUUCGUUAAUAAGUAUCCACAUAAAUUACGUUAAUUAUAGUCUAGCAAAAAUUAAGAAGACUGAAGUAAAUCAAAACAAAAAGAAAAAGGCUCAUUAGAAUUUAAACGCGUAUACGUAGUAGAAUUAUAGUCUAUUGAUAAAAAUUUUAAACAUUUUGAUUUUAAUUUAAAUUUUAAAUCUUGCUUUUCCAUACAUAUAUCAGUUUCUUAAAUUUCAACUUUAUCUUGAAAAAAAAAGGAGAAAAAGUUUAAAAAAAAAAAGAGAAAAGAAGGGAGAAGAAGAGAAAAGGAGAAAGAGAAGAAAUGAGAAAUAGAGAAACGUUACAAGAUGCAUAUAAACUACUAUAUAACUCUUGCUAAGAUUUUUAUCAUAGAACUGCAUUUGCAUCCGCGUUCAGAUUCUGCUUUGACAUUGACUGCUCUUUUCUUUUUGUUUUGAUUAAUAAUAGUCUAUAUAUAUGCAUUAUUGCGAGUUAAAAGUCAAAUCUUCCGCGAACGCAUUUCUCUCUUAAUAAAAGAAUUAAAUUAUAAUUUAUAUGUAAAAAAGGUUUUACUCUUUUUAUUUGAAUUUUAAAAGGAUUAUUUGUGACGAAAAUGCUUAGUUGCACAUAACAAUGAAAAUUUUCGCAGCCGAGCGUUUCCAAGAUUUAAGUCAUGAUUUUAAUAUAAUUUAGUUUAAGCCGACAGUAGUGAGAUUAAUUUAAAGUUAUAGUUAUUUAUAAAUCAUUGACAAUAUUAAGUAAAAAUUAGUAACUUUCAAUGUGCAAGAGCUAUAAAAAGUACAAUAUAAAAUCAAAUUUAAUAUUCAUAAUUAACUUCAUAUCUAGUCAACUAUAUUUAAUAUUUAAGUUUAUUUAAAGUCAUAACUUUUAAUAUGGAGUUAUACAUUUUAAGUCAUAAUUCCUUUUAUCCAAGUUAUAUUAAUAAAAUCCAAUGGAGAAAGAUGAUUUUAAUUUCUAAUAUCUAUUAGGGAUAUGUGCCAUAUAGAAAAAAAAUAUAUAAUACAAUAAACAAGAUUCUAGUCAAAUAUAGUUUAAUUCAUAGAAUAUAUCAAGAGAUCUAGUCAGAACUAUAUAAUACUAUGACGGUACUAAUUUAAACCAAAAUUUAAUUUUUUUUUUUUUUUUACAAAGACCAUGACAAUCACAUGUUUCAAAAUAUUAAUAUAAAAAAAAAUGCAAAUUUAAAGUUCUUGAAAUAUUUCCCUUAAAUAUCUCUCUUAAUUUUUUUUUUAAUUUUAGUGUCAUAAGUUUUUAAAUUUGAUCUGAUGCAAACCGUACGUAAACAUUCCUUUAUUAUAGAAUAAAAUUAGAAUUAGAAUUCUUUAAAAUUAACAAGAGUAAAUUAAAAUUGAAUUAGUAUAUGUAUAUAAAAAUUCUCUUUCACAUAUCUUUAUAAUUUAUAACCAUUUAUAAUAUAUAACUUUUUGUAAAGUAGAGUAAUUUUGCUGAGUAUCUGUAUCACUUUAUCUAUAAUCUUUAUAAUCCCGGUUUUUAUUAUAUAAUUAUUUAUAGUUUCAAAUCACACAUAUUUAUGGUCAGUUAUUUAAUUGAUUGACCUAAAUAAUUAAGAGCAAUUUCAUAUUCGAUACAGGAUAUGCAGGCCAUUGAUAAAUGCAAUCUUUUAUUAAAUUCUAAAGCGCGCGAUUACAUCUUGCGUAACAUAUCACAAUUAUUAUAUUAUCAAUAUUAUUCUUACAGUUAUACUGAUAGUGUAUAUCAGAUGUGUGAAAUCCGUGGAUGCGAUGCCAUAUAAAACUUAUGCCAAAUAAGAGAAUGCUAGUCAUUUCUUUAGAUAAUCGCAUAUAACUUAAUGCCUUUGGAAGCAUACAUUGUACAGUUCUCAUAUUUCAAUUUAAUCAUAAUAAUUUUGCAAAUCUAGUCAAUUCUAGCCAUUAGCAUUAUUUUAAAGAAUUUUAAUAAUUAAGUAAAAUAAUCUUAAUUUAAAAGAAAAAUAAUAAGUUUAAGCUAAUUAUUAUAACUUGAAUAAUUGUAAGUAUGAUAUAUUUUGGGAAACGUGCCAGUAUAUACCUACAUUAUUUGAAAUUAAUAUUUUUAAAAGUGCAAAAAUUUAAUAAUUAAGAUGCAAUUCUUUUCCUAUUCUUCUUAUAAAAAAAAAAAAAAAA